AUCAAAGGCCAGGGUAGCGCGAUUGGUGUGUCAGGACCGUUGAUAAACCGAAAGUUGAUUUUGAGUCCGUUUCUUAUUUUGUUCGAGAGGGAUUUUCUUUUACUUUGGAAGUUAUGUUCCUGAUGUGAGGGUCCACAGAGUCUUUUCAUGAUGGCAUCUAGAGAUGAAGCCCAGCAUGUGGUGGAAUGUGACCUGUGUCAGCAACCAGUCUCGUUUUUCUGCAGACGAUGUGGGGUCAAUCUCUGUGACCCCUGUGUCCUUAUACAUCUACGCGUGAAAUCUAAAAACGGCCAUGACAUUGUAGAUUACACCAGUAAGGAUGAUGGCGACACAUGUCACUGUGAUUCCCAUCCCCAAAACGAUUUUUCCGCAUACUGCAAAACUUGCGAAACUCCAAUAUGCAUGCUUUGCGUUACUAUUAAACACAGAACGCACGAAAUAUCCGAGCUGUCCGACAAAACCGAGGAACUUUUAAAAAUGAUUGCUACGGAAAAUGACCGACUUCAGUCAUUCAAACAUGAAUUAGAAAGAAUCUUGGACCAUACAACGAAGCUGUUGUCCUCGAUAUCCUCGAUUUACAAACUGAGGAAAGAUGAAGUUACAGCGCGGGGAGAAGAGUGGCACACACAGAUCGAAGAGGCUGUAAAGAAACUUCACCAGGAACUGGAUGACAUGCAAAAAGAACACGAGGCUGUACUACAGAAACAAAAGAGAAAGUUUGAAGAAAUGAUUGGAAGAGUGGAUGAUAUGAACGGGAAAACAAUAAAAUUACAGAAAUCAAAGAACGUCACAGAAAUGCAGACAUUUGUACCAGUGAUUCAGAAACAGGAGAGUUUAAAUGAGGUCUCACAGUAUUCGUUUCCGAAAUUAUAUGAAUAUAAAAUAGAUGAAUAUUUGGAAAAUAAAUUAAAAAAAAUUGAGUUAUUGGGUAAAAGUAUAUUAGAGGCACCAACAGUUACUUCUGUUAUAGACACUGGGUUUCCUGCUGAUGAAAAGAAAAACCGUUUGUUUGACAUGGUAGUUACCGACGAUAACAAAGUUUGGAUGGGAGGAGCGAGCAGAGAACUGAAAUUGUUUGAUCUCCAGGGACACCUCCACCACACCGUCAGGAUUACUGUCAAAGGCUUGUACUUAUGUAUGUACAAUAAACAAGUGGUAUACAGUAAACCAUUAAAUAAAUCCGUGAGAAUGAUAUCUAUCACCGACAGUGUGGUAACGAUGUUCACUACCGGGGACUGGAAGCCAUACGGCGUCACAAUUGCGGCGUCCGGUGAUCUACUGGUCUGUCUCCGUAAUGACGAUCAGUCCAAAGUCGUCCGAUACAUCAGUACCGGUACCGUGCUCCAGGAAAUCCAGUACGACUCGCAGUGUCAACCUCUGUACAAAGACGCGACUUAUAUCACUGAGAAUGUCAACGGGGACAUCAUUGUAACUGACUGGGAGGAAGAGGCCGUCAUUGCUGUCGAUAGAUUGGGUAUAUUCCGGUACUCGUACUCGGGUGGUAAAUAUUCUGCUGUAACCACCGAUUCCGCCGGUCAUGUCAUUGUUCCAAUAAUGUCUCCAUAACAAGAUUCACAUGCUGGACAGACACGGACGAUUCCUGAGGUACAUCAUUUCUAAAGGAGGAAUAAAAUACCCACGCGGCGUGAUCAUCCUUGGUCACAGUGAGAUGAUGGUGGGAGAGUGUCUCACGGGAAUCGCCAAAAGAAUCAAAUACUUAGAAGAAUAAAGAUACAUCAGUUUUAUUAAUCAGUUUUAAAAUGGAAAUGGCUAUUCGAUACUUACAAACAAAUAGAAACAAAUCGUUUAAUGUUUUAAAGUGGUACUGAAAAAACCCAUAAUCAACUGGCUGUAAGAUGUCAGAAUGUACCUACUGUCUGUACGCGGUAUAUCUUCUAGAUUGAAAUGUUGUGUGAUGUAAUAUUCCUUUAUCUAUGUUACCUUUUAUUAUUUUCUGCAUACAAAUUUUGUUUACAAUAACUCAAUCUGAGUCAGUAAAAAUGUCUCAUGUAAAUCAGCAUUAAUAUUUAAUGUUAUACUAAUUUAAAUGAUUAGCGCCUAUCUACUUACGUUAUUAAAUACUAACGUAUGUGCGGAAAGGUUUGGCCAUUUUUUAACGUAUUGCAAUAUUUUUGUUUCAGAUAGUUGCAAAUAAGAGAAUCUUAAUUGCCCUCUUUUGUAGAGAUACUUAGUAAAGAGAACAUGUAUUUUUUUUUUAAAUAUUUAUUAAAUUUUGAGUAAUCUUGUAUACAAUAUAUGCACAGGUGCUCGAUUAUUGGAUAUUGUAGUUUUUUAUUAUUUGCUUGGGGACAAAAAUUAAAAUUGGUAAUCAUAUU
rnacentral:misc_RNA from 1 species